GCUUAUGUGCGACUUGUGGCACCCUUUUCUUUCUUUCAGAGCAGUUUUGGAGGGGCGUACUAAACCCACUACGUACCACACCACUAUGCAGAUCUCCUGAAUACCAAGUCUUUCUCUGUUGUCAAUUCGAUGUCGUCGUCACCUGCAAUAGUUGGCCAAAAACCUGACUUUACUAAACAAGGGAGAAAAGCCCUUUCUAUCUUAUUAGUCAAGUGCGCUAGCUGUAAUCAAACUAAAGCGCUAACAUCAAAGUGCUUCGAAAGGCCCUAGCUACCUUAUUACUGAUAGCACAGCUACGUGUUGGCACUCAAUUAGUAGCGCUGGCACGUCACUCGGCUCACUUCGGUUGCA
rnacentral:lncRNA from 1 species